GAUCAUUACCGAGCUUACAACUCCCAAACCCCUGUGAACAUACCACUUGUUGCCUCGGCGGAUCAGCCCGCUCCCGGUAAAACGGGACGGCCCGCCAGAGGACCCCUAAACUCUGUUUCUAUAUGUAACUUCUGAGUAAAACCAUAAAUAAAUCAAAACUUUCAACAACGGAUCUCUUGGUUCUGGCAUCGAUGAAGAACGCAGCAAAAUGCGAUAAGUAAUGUGAAUUGCAGAAUUCAGUGAAUCAUCGAAUCUUUGAACGCACAUUGCGCCCGCCAGUAUUCUGGCGGGCAUGCCUGUUCGAGCGUCAUUUCAACCCUCAAGCACAGCUUGGUGUUGGGACUCGCGUUAAUUCGCGUUCCUCAAAUUGAUUGGCGGUCACGUCGAGCUUCCAUAGCGUAGUAGUAAAACCCUCGUUACUGGUAAUCGUCGCGGCCACGCCGUUAAACCCCAACUUCUGAAUGUUGACCUCGGAUCAGGUAGGAAUACCCGCUGAACUUAAGCAUAUCAUUAAAGCGGAGGAA
rnacentral:rRNA from 1 species